rnacentral:rRNA from 1 species
UACGGAGGAUGCAAGCGUUAUCCGGAAUGAUUGGGCGUAAAGCGUCCGCAGGUGGCUAUGUAAGUCUGCUGUUAAAGAGUCUGGCUCAACCAGAUAAAGGCAGUGGAAACUACAUGGCUAGAGUGCGUUCGGGGCAGAGGAAAUUCCUGGUGUAGCGGUGAAAUGCGUAGAGAUCAGGAAGAACACCGGUGGCGAAAGCGCUCUGCUAGGCCGCAACUGACACUGAGGGACGAAAGCUAGGGGAGCGAAUGGG